rnacentral:rRNA from 1 species
ACGGCUCAGUAACACGUAGUCAACAUGCCCAGGGGACGUGGAUAACCUCGGGAAACUGAGAUUAAACCGCGAUAGAUCAAGAUUUCUGGAAUGGAUCCUGGCUUAAAUCUACAUGGCCCCUGGAUUGGACUGCGGCCGAUCAGGCUGUUGGUGAGGUAAUGGCCCACCAAACCUAUAACCGGUACGGGCUCUGAGAGGAGAAGCCCGGAGAUGGGCACUGAGACAAGGGCCCAGGCCCUAUGGGGCGCAGCAGGCGCGAAAACUCUGCAAUGGGCGGAAGCCUGACAGGGUUACUCUGAGUGAUUUCCGCUAAGGAGAUCUUUUGGCAGCUCUAAAAAUGGUGCAGAAUAAGGGGUGGGCAAGUCUGGUGUCAGCCGCCGCGGUAAUACCAGCACCCCGAGUGGUCGGGACGAUUAUUGGGCCUAAAGCAUCCGUAGCCGGUUGUGCAAGUCCUCCGUUAAAUCCAGCCGCUCAACGGAUGGGCUGCGGAGGAUACUACAGAACUAGGAGGCGGGAGAGGCAAGCGGUACUUAGUGGGUAGGGGUAAAAUCCUUUGAUCCAUUGAAGACCACCAGUGGCGAAGGCGGCUUGCCAGAACGCGCUCGACGGUGAGGGAUGAAAGCUGGGGGAGCAAACCGGAUUAGAUACCCGGGUAGUCCCAGCUGUAAACGAUGCAGACUCGGUGAUGGGCUAGCCUCGUGUCAGCCCAGUGCCGCAGGGAAGCCGUUAAGUCUGCCGCCUGGGGAGUACGGUCGCAAGACUGAAACUUAAAGGAAUUGGCGGGGGAG